rnacentral:rRNA from 1 species
AGGCCGAAAGGCGUAGUCGAUGGGAAACAGGUUAAUAUUCCUGUACUUGGUGUUACUGCGAAGGGGGGACGGAGAAGGCUAUGUUAGCCGGGCGACGGUUGUCCCGGUUUAAGCAUGUAGGCUGAUUGUCCAGGCAAAUCCGGAUAAUCAAGGCUGAGGUGUGAUGACGAGGCACUACGGUGCUGAAGUAACAAAUGCCCUGCUUCCAGGAAAAGCCUCUAAGCAUCAGGUAACAUUAAAUCGUACCCCAAACCGACACAGGUGGUCAGGUAGAGAAUACCAAGGCGCUUGAGAGAACUCGGGUGAAGGAACUAGGCAAAAUGGUGCCGUAACUUCGGGAGAAGGCACGCUGGUGUGUAGGUGA